rnacentral:rRNA from 1 species
AGUGAACGCUGGCGGUAGGCCUAACACAUGCAAGUCGAACGGCAGCACAGUAAGAGCUUGCUCUUACGGGUGGCGAGUGGCGGACGGGUGAGGAAUACAUCGGAAUCUACUUUUUCGUGGGGGAUAACGUAGGGAAACUUACGCUAAUACCGCAUACGACCUACGGGUGAAAGCAGGGGAUCUUCGGACCUUGCGCGAUUGAAUGAGCCGAUGUCGGAUUAGCUAGUUGGCGGGGUAAAGGCCCACCAAGGCGACGAUCCGUAGCUGGUCUGAGAGGAUGAUCAGCCACACUGGAACUGAGACACGGUCCAGACUCCUACGGGAGGCAGCAGUGGGGAAUAUUAGACAAUGGGCGCAAGCCUGAUCCAGCCAUACCGCGUGGGUGAAGAAGGUCUUCGGGUUGUAAAGCCCUUUUGUUGGGAAAGAAAAGCAGCAGGUUAAUACCCCGCUGUUCUGACGGUACCCAAAGAAUAAGCACCGGCUAACUUCGUG